UACGUAGGGGGCGAGCGUUGUCCGGAAUGACUGGGCGUAAAGCGCGCGCAGGCGGUUUCUUGCGUCUGAGGUGAAAGACGAUGGCUCAACCAUCGCAAUGCCUUGGAAACGGGGGAACUUGAGGGUCGGAGAGGCAAGGGGAAUUCCACGUGUAGCGGUGAAAUGCGUAGAGAUGUGGAGGAAUACCAGUGGCGAAGGCGCCUUGCUGGACGAAACCUGACGCUGAGGCGCGAAGGCAUGGGGAGCAAACAGGAUUAGAUACCCUGGUAGUCCAUGCGGUAAACGAUGAGUGCUAGGUGUCGGAGGGUACCACCUCCGGUGCCGAAGGAAACCCAAUAAGCACUCCGCCUGGGGAGUACGGUCGCAAGACUGAAACUCAAAGGAAUUGACGGGGGCCCGCACAAGCAGUGGAGCAUGUGGUUUAAUUCGAAGCAACGCGAAGAACCUUACCAGGGCUUGACAUCCCUCUGACGGUCUUAGAGAUAAGGCGUCCCCUCGGGGCAGAGGAGACAGGUGGUGCAUGGUUGUCGUCAGCUCGUGUCGUGAGAUGUUGGGUUAAGUCCCGCAACGAGCGCAACCCUUGAUCUGUGUUACCAGCACGUAGUGGUGGGGACUCACAGAUGACUGCCGGUGACAAACCGGAGGAAGGCGGGGAUGACGUCAAAUCAUCAUGCCCCUUACGUCCUGGGCUACACACGUGCUACAAUGGACGGUACAACGGGAUGCGAAAGAGCGAUCUUGAGCCAACCCCACAAAGCCGUUCGUAGUUCGGAUUGCAGGCUGCAACUCGCCUGCAUGAAGCCGGAAUUGCUAGUAAUCGCGGAUCAGCAUGCCGCGGUGAAUACGUUCCCGGGCCU
rnacentral:rRNA from 1 species